GCCGAGGUGGUGGAAUGGUAGACACACGGGACUCAAAAUCCCGCGAUAGCAAUAUCAUGAGGGUUCAAGUCCCUCCCUCGGCACAA
rnacentral:tRNA from 7 species